GAAUUUCUUCAGGUUGGAGAAUGAGCAUCUGAACAAUGUAGGAAAAUAUCGUGCAUUCAAGUCAGUACCACUACCUUUCAACUAUGACGAGGAUGAUGACAAAGAUGAAUAGCUAUCCUUUUGUCAACAUUUGAUAAAACCAGAGGAUAUAACACAGAAAACUAAGAAAAGUCGUACCGAAAACUCUUUUGACGGGUGAAAAAGUAAAGGAAAAUAACCAAACCAGGUUCAUUUUUGACAAUCGACAGAAACAAAAGAGAAAAAACAAGAACAAUGUUCAUUGAACCCAAUUUUCGGAAUGAUUUGUAUUCUUUAUUUUCUAUGUAUAGCCGCUAUUAUUUUGAUUUUUGGCUUCU
rnacentral:misc_RNA from 1 species